rnacentral:lncRNA from 1 species
UGGUGGCUAACUUACGUAGAACAUUUAUGAAGGUGGACUAUACUAACGGUCGAGAAUACUUGAUCACUAAGUGAUCCUGAACUCCUACCUACGUCAAUCAUAACCCCACCGUGUUCCCGAUCGAAGAGAUAUCUUCGAGGGGACAGUCACGGUUACGCACACAGUUGGCAAUUUUAUUAGCUUAUGUUUAAGUUAUCUAAUACCGGAUGUUAACAAAAUAUUCCAAGUUGCCACAUAACCACGGGCACGGCUUUCCGAAAGAUUAAACCCUGCAGAGGUGCUGUAACUAGUCCAUCACAAACGUACACAGGCCGCAAAGUAAUCCUCUAUCACGAAUCUCGUGAUCUCGUCGGAUUCCUUAGAGGAAAACCUCAACUCUGGGUAGAACCAAAGCUUCACUGGGAUUCCUAUACGCAAGAUAUAUUGCUAAGGUAAGACAAGACUAACAGGACCUCCCGACGUGUCGACGACCCUAAUAAGAGUCGCGUAUCUCAGUCUCAGGACACGCCGGAUGAGUCAUACUACAGGUAUACCAAACCUCAGGUUGCCCUGUGGUGGCCCCAUAGUCUGCCCAGUUUGGACCAACACUCAUGAGGAGCACUGGCCCGGGUUGUUGAUUAAAUUCCUCGGGGUAGCUAUUCCCUAUGCAGAUUAUUAUUAAGUGAUUAGCAAAUUAACACCAAUGUUGGGUCCUGCCGGACAAGUCUUAACACUACGCGAUUUAUCAAGGGGAUCCCCAUAACAACCCCGAACGUGUUAGGAGCGAUCAAUAUGGAA